UGUGUGUGUGUGUGUGUGUGUGUGUGAGAGAGAGAGCUACAGCUGGGCAAACAUAGGAGGUGCAUUUUAGCGCAUCACUGCCCCCCAGUGGUGACUGCAGACGCUGCAUCCCUCAUGCAUCCUCCAGUUCAGGGCCGUUGUUCGCAACCCUCGAACAGUUACAUUACUGAAGAUAAAGUACUGCCUCAAGUACCGUAUUGCUUUUAUAAUACGGAAAUACAAAAUUAUAAUUAAGUAAAUAGCUGCCUUUUCAGCACAAAA